rnacentral:tRNA from 3 species
AAAAUCCGUCGACUUUAAAAAUCGUGAGGGUUCAAGUCCCU